CCUACGGGAGGCUGCAGUGGGGAAUAUUGGACAAUGGGCGAAAGCCUGAUCCAGCCAUGCCGCGUGUGUGAAGAAGGCCUUCGGGUUGUAAAGCACUUUCAGUGGGGAAGAAAGCCUUGGGGCUAAUACCCUCGAGGAAGGACAUCACCCACAGAAGAAGCACCGGCUAACUCCGUGCCAGCAGCCGCGGUAAUACGGAGGGUGCGAGCGUUAAUCGGAAUUACUGGGCGUAAAGCGCGCGUAGGCGGUCUGAUAAGCCGGUUGUGAAAGCCCCGGGCUCAACCUGGGAACGACAUCCGGAACUGUCAGGCUAGAGUGCAGGAGAGGAAGGUAGAAUUCCCGGUGUAGCAGUGAAAUGCGUAGAGAUCGGGAGGAAUACCAGUGGCGAAGGCGGCCUUCUGGACUGACACUGACGCUGAGGUGCGAAAGCGUGGGUAGCAAACAGGAUUAGAUACCCCAGUAGUC
rnacentral:rRNA from 1 species